AUUGAACGCUGGCGGCAGGCUUAACACAUGCAAGUCGAGCGGGGUGAUGGUGCUUGCACUAUCACUUAGCGGCGGACGGGUGAGUAAUGCUUAGGAAUCUGCCUAUUAGUGGGGGACAACAUCUCGAAAGGGAUGCUAAUACCGCAUACGUCCUACGGGAGAAAGCAGGGGAUCACUUGUGACCUUGCGCUAAUAGAUGAGCCUAAGUCGGACUAGCUAGUUGGUGGGGUAAAGUCCUACCAAGGCGACGAUCUGUAGCGGGUCUGAGAGGAUGAUCCGCCACACUGGGACUGAGACACGGCCCAGACUCCUACGGGAGGCAGCAGUGUGGAAUAUUGGACAAUGGGGGGAACCCUGAUCCAGCCAUGCCGCGUGUGUGAAGAAGGCCUUAUGGUUGUAAAGCACUUUAAGCGAGGAGGAGGCUCUUUUGGUUAAUACCCAAGAUGAGUGGACGUUACUCGCAGAAUAAGCACCGGCUAACUCUGUGCCAGCCGCCGCAGUAA
rnacentral:rRNA from 1 species